AAAGUGGAGGAAGGUGGGAUUGCGAGCAAGUCAUCGAGAGGCACGGCACACGGCCGCAACGUGUGCUGCAAGGGAGGAUACAAUGAGCAACGACCCAUCGAGGGCAAGCGGACCUCAUAAAGUGUGUCGUAGUCCGGAUGGGAGUCUGCAACUCGACUCCAUGAAGUCGGAAUCGCUAGUAAUCGUGGAUCAGAAUGCCACGGUGAAUACGUUCCCGGGCCUUGUACACACCGCCCGUCACACCAUGGGAGUGGGUUGCAAAAGAAGUAGGUAGCUUAACCUUCGGGAGGGCGCUUACCACUUUGUGAUUCAUGACUGGGGUGAAGUCGUAACAAGGUAACCGUAGGGGAACCUGCGGUUGGAUCACCUCCUUACCUUAAAGAAGC
rnacentral:rRNA from 1 species